rnacentral:misc_RNA from 1 species
ACGUGGUGACAGAGAUCGUCCCAUGUCGUUAGCCCGAGGCAGUGCCGUACUCCUCGUGAACACGGACCAGCGGCGGUUGGACUGGAGCCAAAAGGCAAUGGGGAAGGUGAGUUGAUGUGGGCCUGUCUCGCAUUGACAGCUUAUAGCCCUGCUGCAUGGUGCUCCGGCCUGACCGAGGAAGUUGGGCAGCCCUUGCCCGUUGUGGUACACGCCGAAUGGCGGGGCCUCCCAACACGAGCUAGCCGUGCGGUGUGGACUGCAUGCAGUGCUCACCGUGGCGGUGAUCUCGUGGUGGAGAGUGCCACUUGUGUGCCAGUGCUGCUGGUAUUCAGAU